UGAUUAAGCAGGUGAGCUGGAAGAUGCUUUCCCCAUCAUUUCUUGCAGGCCGUCUCAUUGUCAUCUUCUGUCUGACACACCUGAUUGUUUUUGCUGGGCUGCAGUUGUGCAGAAAUGGCCAUGGCAACAAUUCUUCCACUCUCCUUAAACCUUCCAGAUGCCAUUGAUGGACUUUUCACUGCUGGGCAGAAGGCAUUUGAAUGAUUGUUGUGAAGUACCUUCUGCAGAGACUGCCUGCAGGUUUGGAAGGCAGCUGGAUAGCAUCAUGCAUUAGUAAUCUAAUGACCUUUUCCCCUCAGGGCCAUUUCCUCACAUCUCAAACAUCUUGGCAACACUCAGAAAGUAUCUGACGGUUCAAUACUGUUGUGUAAUAGAAGUUUUUCUCGUUACAUUUCACACGUUGACUGAUUUUAUCUCAAGAGUAAUCACAACAGCUAGAAAUGAUGGGAAGCCUCAGAAGAGAGUUGGAUUAAUACCUGAAGGCAGUUUCUUCUGGAAGUGAGCUUUCCUUUGAGGCGUGGAGCAGCGCUGCUGCUGUGGCUGCUGCACUGGGGCUGCAGGAAAGUCCCCCUGUGCAGACAAGGCUUGUUCUGGGAACGUGGAAAGAACACAGAGCUUUCUCUGUGCCAUCCUUCUUAUCCUCAAGGAUGGUGGGAAAUCCUUUAUCAUGUAUAGUAAUUGUCUUGAUAGCCAAUAAAGAGAGUAAUGACAAACGCUUCCUUGCCAGACAGCGAGUAUUACAGGCAGACAGCUGGGUUACUUUCCACCUUUGCAUGAGCCCAAGAAGCACGGCGUACAUUUGGAGAUACCCGAGCACGCAGGGCUGGCACUUGCUUUUCAGAAGUGCCCUCCUGACAGGCACUUGAACGCUCAGACACCAUGUGAAAUGUACACAGGGCAUCAGUGGGACGAGCUGCACAACUCACACCUCCAACACAUCUCUUUUCACUUGCAGUAUUUGUAACUGGCAGUGGUUUCCUAUUGUGCACUUUUGCUUUAGGAAUGACUUUUAAAAUACCAAGUGUUUGUUCCAUAGAGACCUUUUCCUCUGCUUCUGCUUGCCCUCUGAGUACACGAAGGAGGCUGAUGUCAGUAGCAGCUUCUAUGGCCCUGCAUGCACAGCAGCACGAGCUAUUCUACUUUUACUCUUUCAGACAGUAUGACUUUCAGAGCUCUUCAUUUUAUCUUAUAUAGCUAACUUAAUGAAUUCAUUAGGGGCAUUGUAGUGGCAAUGCUCAGUCACAGCCUGAAACAGUGAUGGAGCACCUGGUGGGAAGGCAGGACCAACCCAGGGGAGCUCAGGUGCAAGCAAUGCUGAGCGAUGAAGGGGUGGAGGCAGGAUGCACCCCUUCCCAACCCUCAUUUAAGGGUUGGCAGUGGAGGUGAGGGCAUCUCUUGCUGGAGGUUUCUGCUUAUUUGAGGCCUUCCAAAGGACGUGGCAACAAGAGAGUUAAAUCCACGCCUUCCAGAACAUGCUUUGCAGUUAAGAAAUCUGCAGACACUUGCUCUGAAGCUCUGAUGCUCUCCCCAUGCCAUGGUGCCCACCGCGUUCUCCAGGCGCCGCUCUGGGCUCGGCCGUUCUCAGCCGCUGCCUCCUUUAUUACCGCGCUGCAGACGCCCCACGGCCUCGUGUGAUGCUUCCCACCUGCUGCACGCAAUGGUUCAGCACUGAAGCACACAGCAACACCGACGAGAUCCUUCCCAGACUCAUAACUCCCGGCAGGACGGGUUUCCUCUUACGGCUGCAGGAUUGUUUCCGUGCUGUAAGCGGCGCAGCUGAAGGAGAGGCGAUGAAUGGCGGUGCUGUGAAAUCCACUCUCCUUGUCUGUUAGCUUGCUGUCUCCGUUUCCUUGCUGCAGGUAAACUGAGAUCUUCAGAGCUUACCACAGAGGUAUUUAGAGACCCCAAAUGGGGACACGUUAAAUCAGCCGCACCUGUGCUUCCUUUGGCUUAUUUGAUUGUUUCCUGCAGCUUGGGGAGCAUCUUCCCACCACACAGAACCCUCAGCAGUGGUCUGGAUGAGCUUAAGCUUUCUUUACAGCCUUCUCUACAUAUAUGGGGCAGUGAUUUCCACCUAUCCAGCCGUGAGCUCCCUGCAGCAAACAGAAGCGUUGUGGGAGGAUGCAUUUGUUCACGGCUUGUUUUGGGUCACUUGUCUGUCUUGUCUCUACCAGUGUGCCGUCCUGGAAUUACCUGCACUACGUGACUGCAGAAAUGCCUACUGUAGCACUGGUCCUGCUACUCCAAGUAUUUUCUGAGAGUUUUUGGCUGUGCCAUUGUGCCUUGAAUACAGCCCUGGCCCAGAACAAGGGUUUUAGGCACAGUGCCAUCACAAAAUGAGCAUCUUCUGAGAUGCAGUGGCUGCACAGUACAAAGCCGUGCACCGGAGCUGCAGCCAAGUCAUCGUUUGCCCUGCUCUGGUCCUCUAAAGUCCAAUACCACCAGUUUCAGAGGGCCACAGCAGGGAUCACCUCCCUCUAUAAAUCCAAUGGAAGAUGACACCUGUGAACUCAGCUGAGCUGAGUGCCUGGUGAGUGGCAGAAGAAGACACCCACAGUCAUUGACUUCCUGCCAGCGGUGUCCUUCAGUGGGGAAAAGCUGAUGGUUCACACACUGUGCUGAAGGGACACCUGUUGGUUUUCUUCCCUGCUGUCUAUCGGGGUGCAUCGGGAUUUCCUCCAAGUGCAGCAACAGCAGCUCACAGAGAGCCAAUGGAAAGGUGGUGGUUGGGAUCUGCUUCUUCAACAAGGAGUGCUGUGGUUUGUUGUUUGUUUGUUUUCUUUGUUAACAUCCUCAAAAGGGCAACCAAGAGCUAGGAGUUGUAUUUUGUUCUGCUGAAGUAAAUGCAUUUAUGCUCCCUGA